rnacentral:lncRNA from 1 species
CCGGGCGGAGCGCGGGGGGCGAGGCCGGCGCGGCGCUCGCGGGAGGCCGGGGAGCAGCAGGGGCAUGUGGAUACUGGCCCUCUCCUUGUUCCAGAGCUUCGCGAAUGUUUUCAGUGAGGACCUUCACUCCAGCCUCUACUUUGUCAAUGCAUCUCUGCAAGAGGUAGUGUUUGCGAGCACCACGGGGACCCUGGUGCCCUGCCCCGCAGCAGGGAUCCCUCCUGUGUCUCUCAGAUGGUACCUAGCGACGGGCGAGGAGAUCUACGAUGUCCCCGGAAUCCGCCACGUCCACCCCAACGGCACUCUCCAGAUUUUCCCCUUCCCUCCUUCAAGCUUUAGUACCUUAAUCCAUGAUAAUACUUACUAUUGCACAGCUGAAAAUCCUUCAGGGAAAAUUAGAAGUCAGGAUGUCCACAUCAAGGCUGUUUUACGGGAGCCCUAUACAGUCCGUGUGGAGGACCAGAAAACCAUGAGAGGCAAUGUCGCGGUCUUCAAGUGCAUUAUCCCCUCCUCGGUGGAGGCCUACAUCGCCGUGGUCUCAUGGGAGAAAGACACCGUGUCACUCAUCUCAGGUAGGGCGUGGGCUUCCUCGGGCCAGGCGGGGCUCCAGGCUCUCCUGCGCACAGCUCCUUCUGGAUAACGAAUCGGGUCUCCAUGUAUUCGCGCACUGUAAUGAAGAAUGUGUGUGCUUCAAGUUGACGCUGUUUUAGAUUAAACGUGGUAUCAGUGUUUUCUUUCGGUUUGUAUGGCUGGAUUCAUAGGUUCCAGUGAAUUGACUGAUGGAUAGAAAUUUGUUCCAUGCAUUAUGUGUAUAGUCACUGAGUUACUUUUGGUUUCCAAGUUACCAAGGAAACAUUUUGGUUUUAUUUCUGCUCCUGGGAAUAGAAAUAGAGGAUUGUUGUUAUCUGUGAGAAACCUCAGAACUGAUAUCCUUAUAUUCUCUGUAAUCUGGAAAAUGGAAAUCCUGAUUUUACGCUAUUCUCAGCCUUUCAAGUGUAUUCACAGUCAUGUGAUAUCUCUGGCCGCUUAAAGAUUUUAUUUGGGAUAUGUAGUCAGUGGCUGAAAUACAUACAGAUAGAUAGGUAGAUAGAUAGAUAUGUACAUAAAUAGCUUACUGGUUUACUUUUGAUAUUUAGAAAAUAUACCACUGAAAUCUAACUU